rnacentral:rRNA from 1 species
GACGAACGCUGGCGGCGUGCCUAACACAUGCAAGUCGAACGGUCCGGCGCUCAACCGACCCUCAGUCUAACUGUAGGGGAAGUUGAGUGCCGGGUAGUGGCGGACGGGUGAGUAACGCGUGGGCAACCAACCCUGUACAGUGGGAUAACACCGGGAAACCGGUGCUAAUACCGCAUGACACCUAUAUGGUGCAUACCGUAUAGGUUAAAGGAUUUAACCGGUACAGGACGGGCCCGCGUCCCAUUAGCUAGUUGGUGAGGUAACGGCCCACCAAGGCGACGAUGGGUAGCCGACCUGAGAGGGUGACCGGCCACACUGGGACUGAGACACGGCCCAGACUCCUACGGGAGGCAGCAGUGGGGAAUAUUGCGCAAUGGGGGGAACCCUGACGCAGCGACGCCGCGUGAGCGACGAAGGCCUUCGGGUCGUAAAGCUCUGUUCUUGGGGACGAAGGAAAUGACGGUACCCAAGGAGAAAGCCCCGGCUAACUACGUG